AUUGAACGCUGGCGGCAUGCCUUACACAUGCAAGUCGAACGGCAGCGUAGGAGCUUGCUCCUGAUGGCGAGUGGCGAACGGGUGAGUAAUAUAUCGGAACGUGCCCUAGAGUGGGGGAUAACUAGUCGAAAGACUAGCUAAUACCGCAUACGAUCUACGGAUGAAAGUGGGGGAUCGCAAGACCUCAUGCUCCUGGAGCGGCCGAUAUCUGAUUAGCUAGUUGGUGGGGUAAGAGCUCACCAAGGCGACGAUCAGUAGCUGGUCUGAGAGGACGACCAGCCACACUGGGACUGAGACACGGCCCAGACUCCUACGGGAGGCAGCAGUGGGGAAUUUUGGACAAUGGGGGCAACCCUGAUCCAGCAAUGCCGCGUGAGUGAAGAAGGCCUUCGGGUUGUAAAGCUCUUUUGUCAGGGAAGAAACGGUUCUGGAUAAUACCUGGGACUAAUGACGGUACCUGAAGAAUAAGCACCGGCUAACUACGUGCCAGCCGCCGCCGUAA
rnacentral:rRNA from 1 species